UUUUGGCUAGAUUAGGGUCAUCCGGAGUCGAAUAUUGAAAAAAGAGCAUUAUUUCAGAUUGAUUGAGCUUAGUUUGAGAUAAGUGAUAUGCCUAACCUUGUCUGGUGGAACUCCCCUUAGGCUUAUGUACAUAUUUGAUAUAUGAGCGUCGUGUACAUAAAGUGACGAGUACGUACAUGAGCUAUUUGUUGUAACACUCUAUUUUCU
rnacentral:lncRNA from 1 species